rnacentral:rRNA from 1 species
GAUGAACGCUGGCGGCGUGCCUAAUACAUGCAAGUCGAGCGAACGGACGAGAAGCUUGCUUUUCUGAUGUUAGCGGCGGACGGGUGAGUAACACGUGGAUAACCUACCUAUAAGACUGGGAUAACUUCGGGAAACCGGAGCUAAUACCGGAUAAUAUUUUGAACCACAAGGUUCAAAAGGUAAAGACGGUCUUGUAGUACCUAAUAAAUGGAUCCGCGCUGCAUUAGCUAGUAGGUAAGGUAACGGCUUACCAAGGCAACGAUGCAUAGCCGACCUGAGAGAGUGAUCGGCCACACUGGAACUGAGACACGGUCCAGACUCCUACGGGAGGCAGCAGUAGGGAAUCUUCCGCAAUGGGCGAAAGCCUGACGGAGCAACGCCGCGUGAUUGAUGAAGGUCUUCGGAUCGUAAAACUCUGUUUUUAGGGAAGAACAUAUGUGUAAGUAACUGUGCACAUCUUGACGGUACCUAAUCAGAAAGCCACGGCUAACUACGUG